CUUGCAACUUGCACUAUCAGUAACGACACAGCAGAUUGGUAUACUGAUAUAGGAGCAUCUGCACACAUGACUCCUGAUGUGUCUCAGCUUGAUAAAAUGGAACCUUACAUUGAAUCUUCAAACUCAAAAGGUGGUGGCAAGCGGUGAUCGUGCAGAUGGACUUUUUGUACUGAAGCGUGGACACCAUGUUUUCUCUACUAUCAUUAACAAGCAUAAUUUAUGCAAUUCCUUUGACAUUUGGCAUGUCUGUUUAGGCCAUGUAUCCUCUCAAAUAAUUUCUAUGCUUAAUAAGAAAAGGUUUUUUUUAAUCUCUUA